rnacentral:rRNA from 1 species
AUGAAAAAAAUGAACAGAUGCUACUACCUCCUCCCGGAGGAAGAUGACCCGGUCAGAACUGUUCGGAACAAGAACUGUAUUGGGAAAGUGAUGUUUCUGACCGCUGUUGCACGACCCAGAUAUGAUGCUGAAGGCAAUAUGACAUUCUCAGGUAAAAUUUGUGCCUGUCCCUUUGUGCAAGAGAUUCCCGCUGCUAGAAGAAGUGAAUAUAGAGCAAGAGGGACCAUUGAAAUCAAGUCUGUCAACGUGAACCGAUAGGUAAUGAGGAGGUAUAUGAUAGAAAAAGUGGUUCCCGGGAUAAAGCAAGUCUAG